AGCUAAUAGAUACCCGGUAGUCCACGCCCUAAACGAUGUCUACUAGUUGUUGGUGGAGUAAAAUCCAUGNGUAAACGCAGCUAAACGCGUGAAGUAGACCGCCUGGGGAGUACGGUCGCAAGAUUAAAACUCAAAGGAAUUGACGGGGGCCCGCACAAGCGGUGGAUUAUGUGGAUUAAAUUCGAUGCAACGCGAAAAACCUUACCUGGCCUUGACAUGCCACUAACGAGCAGAGAUGCAUUAGGUGCCCGUAAGGGAAAGUGGACACAGGUGCUGCAUGGCUGUCGUCAGCUCGUGUUGUGAGAUGUUGGGUUAAGUCCCGCAACGAGCGCAACCCUUGCCAUUAAUUGCCAUCAUUUAGUUGGGCACUUUAAUGGGACUGCCGGUGACAAACCGGAGGAAGGUGGGGAUGACGUCAAGUCCUCAUGGCCCUUAUGG
rnacentral:rRNA from 1 species